GGCAUCUAUUAAUGUCAAAUCUAGCCUUUAUUUAACAACAUAAGCAAACUCUAUGUUACAAUGAUUGCACAGCCAUUAAGGAUCAAAUCAGUUUCUGAAAAAUGUUCUGUUUUUUCUCCCUCUGCUUGCUUCUUUCUGUCUUUGAGGCUCGGGACCAGCACUCCUGUUGUUGGACAGAAAGACAUCAACUUGAGAUAUGACUGCACUAUGCUGUUGCUGUGACUCCAGUUAAUUCUACAAGACAUGCUGUGACAACAGGAGAGAUGAGUCCUCCAUCACAGAUGGUGUGGUCAGGGAAGAUGGUCGCCUGCAGGUUCAAGCUCAUUGCAUCUCCAACCCACAUCCACUGCAAC